rnacentral:rRNA from 1 species
CGAGCGCACCCCUAUCCUUAUUUGCCAGCGCAUAAUGUGCGGGAACUAUGAGUGAGAGUGCCGGUCAUAAACCGAGAGGAAGGCGGGAUACGACUCUCAAGUCAUCGUGGCCCUUAUGGGUAGGGCUACACACGUGAUACAGUGGGUGGUACAGAGGGUCGCCAAAGCGCGAGCUGGAGCCAAACCCUUAAAACCAUUCUUAGUCCGGAUUGGAGUCUGCAACUCGACUCCAUGAAGUCGGAAUCGCUAGUAAUCGCGAAUCAGAAUGUCGCGGUGAAUACGUUCUCGGGCCUUGUACACACCGCCCGUCACGUCAUGGAAGUGGGUUGCACCAGAAGUGGCUUGUUUAACCUUCGGGAAAACGGUCACCACGGUGUGAUUCACAACUGGGACGAAGUCGUAACAAGGUAGCCCUAGGGGAACCUGCGGCUGGAUCA